rnacentral:rRNA from 1 species
UUCCGGUUGAUCCCGCCGGAAGCCACUGCUAUCGGGGUCCGACUAAGCCAUGCGAGUCAAGGGGGUGUCCCUCUGGGACACCACCGGCGGACGGCUCAGUAACACGUCGGUAACCUACCCUCGGGAGGGGGAUAACCCCGGGAAACUGGGGCUAAUCCCCCAUAGGCCUGAGGUACUGGAAGGUCCUCAGGCCGAAAGGGGCUUUUGCCCGCCCGAGGAUGGGCCGGCGGCCGAUUAGGUAGUUGGUGGGGUAACGGCCCACCAAGCCGAAGAUCGGUACGGGCUGUGAGAGCCGGAGCCCGGAGAUGGACACUGAGACACGGGUCCAGGCCCUACGGGGCGCAGCAGGCGCGCAACCUCCGCUAUGCCGGAAACCGCGACGGGGGGACCCCCGAGUGCCCCGGCUCCGCCACGGCUUUUCUCGAGUGUAAAAAGCCCCCGAAAUAAGGGCUGGGCACGUCCCGUGGACGCCCGCGCGGUAUACCGGCGGCCGAGUGGUGCCCUAUUAUUGGGCCUAAAGCGUCCGUAGCCGGGCCGUAAGUCCCUGGCGAAAUCCCACGGCUCAACCGUGGGGCUUGCUGGGAUACUGCGGCUUGGACCGGAAGGCGGGGUACCCUGGGGGGUGAAUCUAUAUCCCGACGCGGAACCCCCUGGAACGCCACUAAGCACCAAACCGUGGCUGUAAAGGAUGCGGGCUAGGUGUCGGGUGAGCUUCGAGCUCGCCCGGUGCCGUAGGGAAGCCGUUAAGCCCGCCGCCUGGGGAGUACGGCCGCAAGGCUGAAACUUAAAGGAAUUGGCGGGGGAGCACUACAAGGGGUGGAGCGUGCGGUUUAAUUGGAUUCAACGCCGGGAACCUCACCGGGGGCGACGGCAGGAUGAAGGCCAGGCUGAAGGUCUUGCCGGACACGCCGAGAGGAGGUGCAUGGCCGCCGUCAGCUCGUACCGUGAGGCGUCCACUUAAGUGUGGUAACGAGCGAGACCCGCGCCCCCAGUUGCCAGCCCUUCCCGUUGGGAAGGGGGCACUCUGGGGGGACUGCCGGCGAUAAGCCGGAGGAAGGAGCGGGCGACGGUAGGUCAGUAUGCCCCGAAACCCCCGGGCUACACGCGCGCUACAAUGGGCGGGACAAUGGGAUCCGACCCCGAAAGGGGAAGGGAAUCCCCUAAACCCGCCCCCAGUUCGGAUCGCGGGCUGCAACUCGCCCGCGUGAAGCUGGAAUCCCUAGUACCCGCGUGUCAUCAUCGCGCGGCGAAUACGUCCCUGCUCCUUGCACACACCGCCCGUCACUCCACCCGAGCGGGGUCUGGAUGAGGCUCCGUCCUCUGGGCGGGGUCGAGUCCAGGCUCCGUGAGGGGGGAGAAGUCGUAACAAGGUAACCGU